CCCACCCCUGCAAAACAACAACAAAAACCUUUACCAGGCUCUAUAACAGGGGGACCAAACUUGUUUUUGCUCAUCAUUGCCUCACAUGGUACCUGGCACCAGUGAGCACUUGGUAAAUAUUAGAUAAAUGCACAACUGACUGCUUCUUUAGCAAACUGGAUGAUAGAAUAUGUUCUUACAUUGUACCUCAGAUUGUGGGUAUCCAGUUAUGUUGGCUUGUACUGGAUUACAAAUUAAUCUUACAAGCAAUGUGACUUCAGCAAGCAAAGGAAAAUGUUAUAAUAGUACACAUUUCCAUAGGAUGUUCCAGAUGACCUUGAUGGUGCCCCCAUCGAGGAAGAGCUUGAUGGUGCACCUCUGGAAGAUGUAGAUGGAAUUCCUAUUGAUGCUACUCCCAUCGAUGAUCUUGAUGGAGUCCCUAUAAAAAGUCUUGAUGAUGAUCUUGAUGGAGUGCCUUUGGAUGCAACUGAAGACUCAAAAAAGAAUGAGCCUAUAUUUAAAGUUGCCCCAUCAAAAUGGGAAGCUGUGGAUGAAUCUGAAUUGGAAGCACAGGGUG
rnacentral:sRNA from 1 species